rnacentral:lncRNA from 13 species
GAGUUGUAAUGGCGGGACAAGGAUUUCAAGGUGCACUGAGGGUCAUGCUCCUUGUGUGUCUCCUUGGACUAACAAAAGAGUUUGAACUUGAGGACAAAGACUGGGACGAGUUGAGGUCUGAUGUGGCUGCGCUGCACAGAUUGAAAGGAUUACCUGAUCAAAUGACACGUAGGACCACAGGAGCAGACACCAGAGAGAUAACAAUGCACGGGACCAGGACAAAGAGAUUCAGCAAUUACAGGGCAUAUGUGGAGAAAAGGCCCAUGGCUUUAUUUGAUGGUCUUAGGGGAUGUGACAAUUUUACAACAUGUGUCAUUCAAAUGGACCAGGAUCUUGAAAGGUUUCUGGAAGAAAUUGAUGGACAAAAGAUCCAAGAUUUGCUGCUGUCUGCUUCUGAAAUGUCUUACACCUACAGCAACAAACUUCUCCUUAUAAUGGACAAGGAAGAGUGGACUCGUCAGCGAGUAGAAGAGGAGUACAGCAUAGAUCCUCAUUAUUCAGUAAUGGUCAGUGAUGCUUGUGUAUACAAUGAUUCAUGUCUCCCAACCAUUAACAGUGGCACAGUGGUGAAGAUAUUUGGUACUGCCUCAGAGGAUGGACAUACUCUGUCCGGUUACUCUGGUUCUUCACUAGCAAAUCUAAUGUUGAAACGAUCAUUGAGGGCAGCAUCCGUUUUCUCCCUUGACAUCAAUACCACUUCUUCAUUUCAUAAUGACUUCAUGAGGGUUUUUAAGUAUCAUGACAAUAAUGCUGUCUUGGAAACUACCAGCCCGGGAGAUCUUCUCAUCUUUCAAAUCAUGGAUCACACUGACACUGCAGCUGAGUACCAUGCUCCAAAGAGACCCAUUGAUCACACCACACAGUAUGAUAAACAGCACAUCCUAAUACUGGAAGAUAACCCCGUUGUUCGGGAAGCUGCUAAAUUUCUAUAUGAGAAACAUC